CUACGUAGGGAGCGAGCGUUGUCCGGAUUUACUGGGUGUAAAGGGUGCGUAGGCGGCUCUGCAAGUCAGGCGUGAAAUACAUGGGCUUAACCCAUGGACUGCGUUUGAAACUGUGGAGCUUGAGUGAAGUAGAGGUAGGCGGAAUUCCCGGUGUAGCGGUGAAAUGCGUAGAGAUCGGGAGGAACACCAGUGGCGAAGGCGGCCUACUGGGCUUUAACUGACGCUGAAGCACGAAAGCAUGGGUAGCAAACAGGAUUAGAUACCCUGGUAGUCCAUGCCGUAAACGAUGAUUACUAGGUGUGGGGGGUCUGACCCCUUCCGUGCCGGAGUUAACACAAUAAGUAAUCCACCUGGGGAGUACGGCCGCAAGGUUGA
rnacentral:rRNA from 1 species